rnacentral:rRNA from 1 species
AACGAACGCUGGCGGCGCGCCUAAUACAUGCAAGUCGAACGAGAAGGUGUAGCAAUACACUUGUACAGUGGCGAACGGGUGAGGAAUGCAUGGGCAACCUACCCUCGAGUGGGGAAUAACCAGCCGAAAGGUUGGCUAAUACCGCGUACGCUUCCGGGUCUCCGGAUCCGGAAGGAAAGUCACACCGUGGGUGUGACGCUCAAGGAUGGGCUCAUGUCCUAUCAGCUUGUUGGGAGGUAACGGCUCACCAAGGCAACGACGGGUAGCUGGUCUGAGAGGACGAUCAGCCACACUGGCACUGCGACACGGGCCAGACUCCUACGGGAGGCAGCAGUAAGGAAUAUUGCGCAAUGGGCGAAAGCCUGACGCAGCGACGCCGCCGUGGGGGAGUGAAGGU